GAGGAAGAACAAUGACUAGUAAACUGAAGAUUAUUAUUUCAACCUUGGUUUUAGUUCUUAUAUUCUCAAUAGGUAUGUAGACAAUUUGCAUAAUAGAAUUUAAAUCUCUUUCAUAUGUUAUGUUGCUUAUGCAUAUUGAUUAUUGAGUACUACACUAAUAUUACUCUUUUCAACAGGUACAAACGGUUUAAUACUUAAACACGAGAAAUGCUUUUCCCAAUGUGACCUAACAAAUAAUAAUUGCAUGUCCUUAUGCACUGGCAAGGGAUAUUAUAGAGGAUUUUGUGAUCCAGACCCGUCUUUUACUGUUCCAUUGUGUUGUUGUUUCAGUGAUUGAAAAAUUAUAACUUAGA
rnacentral:lncRNA from 1 species